rnacentral:rRNA from 1 species
AUAAGACGAGAAGACCCUGUGGAGCUUUAGACCUAAAAUAAACCACGUUUAAUGUACUAUGUCAAUAGCAAAAACUUAGUGGACAAUUAUUAAAGUGUCUUUGGUUGGGGCGACCGCGG